GCUACUUUUGGGGUGGGCUUUAUUUGGGGGGGGGGACGCCAUAAUUUGUGCCCCCCCCCCCCACUUUCAGUUGCUGAUGGCGGCGGCUUUUGGGGACCCCCCCCUAUUUGAGUGCUUCGUGGCUGAGCCCCCCCCGGGGGAAAAGGCGCCCCCCGAUGGGCAGCCGCUGGCGGGUUAUGUGCUGUCCGUGUACACCUACAGCGCCCGGGGGGGGGCGACGCUCUACAUGGACAACCUCUACGUGCGGCCGCACUUCGGGGGCCGGAAGUUGGGCCGCCGUCUGAUGGAGGAGGCAGCCAAGGCCGCCUGGGCUCGGGGCUGCCGGGAGCUGCGGAUGCACGUGGGGGGCCCGGGGGGGCUCUUGGGGGGCGUUGGAGGCUUUGGGGGGGCGGCUUUGCCGGGGGGGGGCGCUUCGGGUGGAGGCUGUUUGAAUUUCGACGAGGGGGGGACGCGGCGCCUGGCGGGGGUCGUCGACCCCCCCCCCAAAUAAAGGCUGCGUUGGCUGUGAAUGGAUGGUUUUGGGGGGGGGGAUAUUUGGGGGGGGGGUUCCGUGCGGUCUUUGGGGGGGGGUCGUAAAUGGGGGGGGUCGUAAAUGGGGGGGGGGGGGGGUUCGAGAGAUGGGGGCA
rnacentral:lncRNA from 7 species